AGCUUUGCACAGUGACACAAUCACAGCCAAUGAGGUUUCUCUGAGGUGUGAUAAUUGCUAAUUAAAAAUGCGACUCAGGAGUUAGAAAGUUAUCUAGCUGUCCCAUCUUCCUCUCCUGCUUAGAAG
rnacentral:snRNA from 1 species